GUCUUUUUGAUUUUAAUUUAAAGUUUAACCUGCCCAUUGAAAAUUUUUAAAAGGCUGCGGUAUUUUGACUGUACAAAGGUAGCAUAAUCAUUAGUUUUUUAAUUGAAAACUUGUAUGAAUGGUUGAAUGAAAAAUUAACUUUUUUAAAAAAAUAAUUGAAUUUUACUUUUUAAUUAAAAGGUUAAAAUAAAUUUAAAAGACGAGAAGACCCUAUAGAGUUUUAUAAUUUUUAUUUAAUAUUUAAAAAGAUUAAUUAAAAUUUUAUAAAAGAAAAUAUUUUGUUGGGGUGAUAAUAAAAUUUAAAUAACUUUUAUUUUUUUUUUUUACAUUAAUAUAUGAAUUUAUGAUCCAUUAUUGAUGAUUAUAAAUUUAAAUUACCUUAGGGAUAACAGCGUAAUUUUUUUUUAAAGUUCAUAUUAAUAAAAAAUUUUGCGACCUCGAUGUUGGAUUAAGAUUUAAUUUUAGGUGCAGCAGUUUAAAUUUUAAGUCUGUUCGACUUUUAAAUUCUU
rnacentral:rRNA from 1 species